rnacentral:rRNA from 1 species
CGGUGGUUGGGUAGAGAAUACCAAGGCGCUUGAGAGAACUCGGGUGAAGGAACUAGGCAAAAUGGCACCGUAACUUCGGGAGAAGGUGCGCCGGUGAGGGUGAAGGACUUGCUCCGUAAGCCCACGCCGGUCGAAGAUACCAGGCCGCUGCGACUGUUUAUUAAAAACACAGCACUCUGCAAACACGAAAGUGGACGUAUAGGGUGUGACGCCUCCCCGGUGCCGGAAGGUUAAUUGAUGGGGUUAGCUAACGCGAAGCUCUUGAUCGAAGCCCCGGUAAACGGCGGCCGUAACAAUAACGGUCCUAAGGUAGCGAAAUUCCUUGUCGGGUAAGUUCCGACCUGCACGAAUGGCGUAACGAUGGCGGCGCUGUCUCCACCCGAGACUCAGUGAAAUUGAAAUCGCUGUGAAGAUGCAGUGUAUCCGCGGCUAGACGGAAAGACCCCGUGAACCUUUACUAUAGCUUUGCACUGGACUUUGAAUUUGCUUGUGUAGGAUAGGUGGGAGGCUUUGAAACGUGGACGCCAGUUCGCGUGGAGCCAACCUUGAAAUACCACCCUGGCAACUUUGAGGUUCUAACUCAGGUCCGUUAUCCGGAUCGAGGACAGUGUAUGGUGGGUAGUUUGACUGGGGCGGUCUCCUCCUAAAGAGUAACGGAGGAGUACGAAGGUGCGCUCAGACCGGUCGGAAAUCGGUCGUAGAGUAUAAAGGCAAAAGCGCGCUUGACUGCGAGACAGACACGUCGAGCAGGUACGAAAGUAGGUCUUAGUGAUCCGGUGGUUCUGUAUGGAAGGGCCAUCGCUCAACGGAUAAAAGGUACUCCGGGGAUAACAGGCUGAUACCGCCCAAGAGUUCAUAUCGACGGCGGUGUUUGGCACCUCGAUGUCGGCUCAUCACAUCCUGGGGCUGAAGCCGGUCCCAAGGGUAUGGCUGUUCGCCAUUUAAAGUGGUACGCGAGCUGGGUUUAGAACGUCGUGAGACAGUUCGGUCCCUAUCUGCCGUGGACGUUUGAGAUUUGAGAGGGGCUGCUCCUAGUACGAGAGGACCGGAGUGGACGAACCUCUGGUGUUCCGGUUGUCACGCCAGUGGCAUUGCCGGGUAGCUAUGUUCGGAAUAGAUAACCGCUGAAAGCAUCUAAGCGGGAAACUAGCCUCAAGAUGAGAUCUCACUGGGACCUUGAGUCCCCUGAAGGGCCGUCGAAGACUACGACGUUGAUAGGUUGGGUGUGUAAGCGCUGUGAGGCGUUGAGCUAACCAAUACUAAUUGCCCGUGAGGCUUGACC